rnacentral:rRNA from 1 species
AGGGUGCAAGCGUUAAUCGCUGAUACUGGGCGUAAGCGUGCGUAGGCGGUUGUUAAGUCUGUUGUGAAAGCCCAGGGCUCACCUGGGAACUGCAGUGGAAACUGGACGACUAGAGUGUGGUAGAGGGUAGCGGAAUUCCUGGUGUAGCAGUGAAAUGCGUAGAGAUCAGGAGGAACAUCCAAGGCGAAGGCAGCUACCUGGACCAACACUGACACUGAGGCACGAAAGCGUGGGGAGCAAACAGGAUUAGAUACCCUGGUAGUCCACGCCCUAAACGAUGCGAACUGGAUGUUGGGUGCAAUUUGGCACGCAGUAUCGAAGCUAACGCGUUAAGUUCGCCGCCUGGGGAGUACGGUCGCAAGACUGAAACUCAAAGGAAUUGACGGGGGCCCGCACAAGCGGUGGAGUAUGUGGUUUAAUUCGAUGCAACGCGAAGAACCUUACCUGGCCUUGGCAUGUCGAGAAUUUUCCAGGGAUGGAUUGGUGCCUUCGGGAA